AGUCUGGUGCCAGCAGCCGCGGUAAUUCCAGCUCCAAUAGCGUAUAUUAAAGUUGUUGCAGUUAAAAAGCUCGUAGUUGAAUUUUAGGCCUGGCCGGGCGGUCCGUCUUUGGCGAGUACUGUCUGCUGUCGGGUCUUCCUUCUGGUGAACCAGUAUGCCCUUUAUUGGGUGUGUUGGGGAGCCAGGACCAUUACCUUGAAAAAAUUAGAGUGUUUAGAGCGGGCUAUUGCUUGAAUAGAUUAGCAUGGAAUAAUAGAAUAGGACGUUGUGGUUCUAUUUUGUUGGUUUCUAGGACCACCGUAAUGAUUAAUAGGGAUAGUUGGGGGCAUUAGUAUUCAAUUGUCAGAGGUGAAAUUCUUGGAUUUAUUGAAGACUAACUACUGCGAAAGCAUUUGCCAAGGAUGUUUUCAUUAAUCAAGAACGAAAGUUAGGGGAUCGAAGACGAUCAGAUACCGUCGUAGUCUUAACCAUAAACUAUGCCGACUAGGAAUCGGGCGACGUUAUUUUAAUGACUCGCUCGGCGCCUUAUGGGAAACCAAAGUUUUUGGGUUCCGGGGGGAGUAUGGUCGCAAGGCUGAAACUUAAAGGAAUUGACGGAAGGGCACCACCAGGGGUGGAGCCUGCGGCUUAAUUUGACCCAACACGGGAAAACUCACCAGGUCCAGACAUAGUAAGGAUUGACAGAUUGAGAGCUCUUUCUUGAUUCUAUGGGUGGUGGUGCAUGGCCGUUCUUAGUUGGUGGAGUGAUUUGUCUGGUUAAUUCCGAUAACGAACGAGACCUUAACCUGCUAAAUAGCUAGGCUGCUUUUUAAGCGGUCGUCAGCUUCUUAGAGGGACUGUUGCGCGAUUAGCCAACGGAAGUUUGAGGCAAUAACAGGUCUGUGAUGCCCUUAGAUGUCCUGGGCCGCACGCGCGCUACACUGAUGAAGUCAACGAGUUCAUUUCCUUGGCCGGAAGGCCCGGGUAAUCUUGAGAAACUUCAUCGUGCUGGGGAUAGAGCAUUGCAAUUAUCGCUCUUCAACGAGGAAUCCCUAGUAAGCGUGAGUCAUCAACUCGCGUUGAUUACGUCCCUGCCCUUUGUACACACCGCCCGUCGCUACUACCGAUUGAAUGGCUUAGUGAGACCCUCGGAUCGUAGAUUGUACUGUUGGCAACAACAUACGAUUCGCGAGAAGUUGGUCAAACUUGGUCAUUUAGAGGAAGUAAAAGUC
rnacentral:rRNA from 1 species